rnacentral:lncRNA from 10 species
CAAGGACUGCCUGGCUUCCCUAUAAAUGCCAAGUGGAGCACCUCUAAUAGACGUUCUUUAUAUGCAAGUUGUGAAACGGACUUUAAAAUUUUAUAAAGAAAAUAAAAAAGAGAAAGAAAUGGAAAAGAAAAUUCCAACAGAAAUUCUUCAGACAAUGAGUUUCUUCAGUGCAGGGAUCAUGGACCAUUCAGCUCUGGAUCCUUAUCACCUGGCACAGUUUUAUCAUAUGGAUAUGACUGAGAUUGAAGAUGGUAAGGCUCAUAAUCGAGAAUACAAGUAGUAUAUUGGCUCACUGGAAAGAAUGGUCAGACGUUCAUAUACAAGUCACUUAUUUCUGAAAAUAAAGCCACAAUAUUGAAUAAUGUAGCUUCAAGCCAGGAUGCUAGCAAUUCUUUUCUUAAUUCAAAGUUCCCAUUUUCCACCUACUCUUUUCUCUAAGUAAAGGAUGCCCCCACUCACCACCUUCAAUGCCCUACACAAAA